CAUGAGGUAAUGGCAGCGAGCAAUUUCAGGCGCGAGAGGUGGACACAAGGACGGAGGGAGAAAGGGCAAGCUUCAAGCUUGCCAUGGAUCACGCGCAAUGCAUGGGCCGCUAGGACAAUUACCGAACGAAUAGCAGCACAAGCCGGCCGGGUCUGCCAAAACUAUGAUAGACGAAAGAGCAGGAAACUGGGAAACUGCAUCAAAGUGAAGCAAUAACAGCGAUACUAGUGAUGCUCCUCAGGAAGAGAGCAGCAGGACGUCCACCAGAUCAUAUCUUAUCUACUCUAU
rnacentral:lncRNA from 1 species